CAGUAGCCGCGGUAAUACGUAGGGUGCAAGCGUUAAUCGGAUUUACUGGGCGUAAAGCGUGCGUAGGCGGCUUCUUAAGUCGGAUGUGAAAUCCCUGAGCUUAACUUAGGAAUUGCAUUCGAUACUGGGAAGCUAGAGUAUGGGAGAGGAUGGUAGAAUUCCAGGUGUAGCGGUGAAAUGCGUAGAGAUCUGGAGGAAUACCGAUGGCGAAGGCAGCCAUCUGGCCUAAUACUGACGCUGAGGUACGAAAGCAUGGGGAGCAAACAGGAUUAGAUACCCCAGUAGUCCCUGUCUCUUAUAC
rnacentral:rRNA from 1 species